rnacentral:rRNA from 1 species
AUUGAACGCUGGCGGCAUGCCUUACACAUGCAAGUCGAACGGCAGCACGGGUGCUUGCACCUGGUGGCGAGUGGCGGACGGGUGAGUAAUACAUCGGAACAUGUCCUGUAGUGGGGGAUAGCCCGGCGAAAGCCGGAUUAAUACCGCAUACGAUCUACGGAUGAAAGCGGGGGACCUUCGGGCCUCGCGCUAUAGGGUUGGCCGAUGGCUGAUUAGCUAGUUGGUGGGGUAAAGGCCUACCAAGGCGACGAUCAGUAGCUGGUCUGAGAGGACGACCAGCCACACUGGGACUGAGACACGGCCCAGACUCCUACGGGAGGCAGCAGUGGGGAAUUUUGGACAAUGGGCGAAAGCCUGAUCCAGCAAUGCCGCGUGUGUGAAGAAGGCCUUCGGGUUGUAAAGCACUUUUGUCCGGAAAGAAAUCCUUGGCCCUAAUACGGUCGGGGGAUGACGGUACCGGAAGAAUAAGCACCGGCUAACUACGU